GAUGAACGCUGGCGGCGUGCCUAAUACAUGCAAGUCGAGCGAACGGACGCGAAGCUUGCUUCUCUGAUGUUAGCGGCGGACGGGUGAGUACCACGUAGAUAACCUACCUAUACGACUGGGAUAACUUCGGGAAACCGGAGCUAAUACCGGCUAAUAUUUCAAACCGCAUGGUUCAACAGGGCAAGACGGUCUUGCUGUCACUUAUAGAUGGAUCCGCGCUGCAUUAGCUAGUUGGUAAGGUAACGGCUUACCAAGGCAACGAUGCAUAGCCGACCUGAGAGGGUGAUCGGCCACACUGGAACUGAGACACGGUCCAGACUCCUACGGGAGGCAGCAGUAGGGAAUCUUCCGCAAUGGGCGAAAGCCUGACCGAGCAACGCCGCGUGAGUGAUGAAGGUCUUCGGAUCGUAAAACUCUGUUAUUAGGGAAGAACAUAUGUGUAAGUAACUGUGCACAUCUUGACGGUACCUAAUCAGAAAGCCACGGCUAACUACGUG
rnacentral:rRNA from 1 species